GAAGGCUGGAGGGGAAAGAUAAGAGACUAGCAUUUAGAGGUAGAGUGGAAACUUGGCAAGCUUUCUAAAGGCUGCUGCAGCAGAGGAAAGGAGCCACACUGCAAUGGCACAUAGCAAGAGAAAUGAGAGGAGGCCACACCCUAAUAAAAAGCCUCCGAUAAGAAGAGUAUUACAGACAUUUGUUAUACACCAUCACCAUCUACUGGAAAGGACUCUUCCCCAUCCCAGUGUUAUAAGGAUAAGAAGUGGUGAGAUUUAAUUUCAAAGAUUGCACUUCUACUUCUAUUUCUGUAGUACAAAUAAGUGUAUUGCCUUAUGUACACUUUCUAGUGAGAUCUCAGCUAACUGUUGAGUAUCUGUGAUAACCAUUUGAAGUGUGUGCAAUACACACAAUUGGUUGUGUCUGCACUUGAGUGAACUAUUGAUUUUAUACUAAUGCGGUUCUGAGUGAAUUAAUAAAUUGAUGAUUGGUUAAGAA